GACGAACGCUGGCGGCGCGCCUAACACAUGCAAGUCGAACGAGCGAGCGAGAGCUUGCUUUCUCAAGCGAGUGGCGAACGGGUGAGUAACGCGUGAGGAACCUGCCUCAAAGAGGGGGACAACAGUUGGAAACGACUGCUAAUACCGCAUAAGACCACAGGUCGGCGUCGACCCGAGGGAAAAGGAGCAAUCCGCGUUGAGAUGGCCUCGCGUCCGAUUAGCUGGUUGGUGGGGUAACGGCCCAACAAGGCAACGAUCGGUAGCCGGACUGAGAGGUUGAACCGACACAUUGGGACUGGGACACGGCCCAGAAUCCUACGGGAGGCAGCAGUGGGGAAUAUUGCACUAUGGGGUAAACCCUGAUGCAGCGACGCCGCGUGGAGGAAGAAGGUCUUCGGAUUGUAAACUCCUGUUGUUGAGGAAGAUAAUGACGGUACUCAACAAGGAAGUGACGGCUAACUACGUG
rnacentral:rRNA from 1 species